rnacentral:misc_RNA from 1 species
GAUGAAGAACGUAGCGAAAUGCGAUACUUGGGGUGAAUUGCAGAAUCCCGUGAACCAUCGAGUCUUUGAACGCAAGUUGCGCCCGAAGCCAUUAGGCCGAGGGCACGCCUGCCUGGGCGUCACACGUCGUUGCCCCCCCAUCUACUCCUUCGGGAUUGCGGGGGGCGGAUGAUGGCCUCCCGUGCGCCUCGUCGCGCGGUUGGCCUAAAUGCCAAGUCCUCGGCGACGCACGCCACGACAAUCGGUGGUUGCGAAACCUCGGUUGCCUGUCGUGUGCGGUCGUCGCGCAUCGAGGGCUCGAAAAAAUUGCCGGGCUUCGGCUCGACUUUCAACGCGACCCCAGGUCAGGCGGGGUUACCCGCUGAAUUUAAGCAUAUCAAUAAGCGGAGGA